ACAGAACCCAAGUCUGUAUCGAUCCAGCCAUAUCCUCCCUAAUCAUCCGCGAUUCAAGGGAUCAGCUCCCAGUUCCGUUCCCAACAACCAUCAACAUCCCCUGUUACGUGUAGCAUCCCGUCUUCAUCGCCAACCAAACUCCCAGCUCACGAAUCAUUUCUUCCCUUCAUCCAUAUCAAAAAGAAUCCUAGGAACUCAACUUCCCAGCCGUUCCGCUUCCCCUGUUUCAUCAUUAUCCCAUCUCCCCUUCCGGAUUAACUCCCAGCUUCAUCCCAUUCAAAUUCCUUCUCCGAAGCUUCUCCAGCUAGAUUCCCUCCACGGAUGAACAUCUCCCAACGUCCAGCUUCAUCUUCACGAGAUCCCAACUCCAAGCGCCCACAUCUUCGGUAGUCCAAAGAACAAAUCCAAACCUCCACGAACAGAGUACGACGGCAGCUUCAUCCUCCCGAUUCUUCCGGCACCUCAUCUAAGCCGCGAACAGCCCAGCAUCUUCCGGAUGAGCAUUCCAUCUUCUUCUGACUUCUUCUCAUCCACAAAUCCGAACCAAAUGCAUAACAGAGCACCCUUAUCCCAAGGAACAGACCCGUAUGUGAUCUUCUCCCCUGUUUCACGCAUGGCCAGCCGUUCCCAAGCUUCACGGAAACUUCAUCUAAACUGCCAACCGAAUCGAGUUCAUCCUCCCGUGAUCCACUCAUCUCCCAGCUGCAUCCAUUUGAUUCCAGCUCC
rnacentral:lncRNA from 1 species